AAAACCCUUUGGAGGAGUGUUAACUCUUUGAGGGUACCACUUUAUUACUUAGUCAUAAUUUGAGAAUUCUAAAAACAUUACUGUCCUUUUCAUCCAGAGAGGAUUUGAAGUUGUUUCAAAAAUACAUGCCAUCUAGAUUAAAUAAAUUGCAAAGAUCUCAGAUAUAGGUAAGAAUUCAAAACAAGAGGAAAGAGGAAGCACAUGGCCCUGUAUAGAUGCUAUUGUCAGAGAGCCAGUUUGUCUCCAAGGUUCCCAGUAACCAAAGCAAAGAGGGAAACUCUCUCAGUUUUAAGAAAUACAGUUUGAUGAUAUAAAUCCAAACUAACUUUUUCUCAAGACAAGAGGGAAUUCGAUAAGACCCUUCCCCAAGGAAAGCCAAAGUGCUGGUUUGACCUGAAUUGGUGGACAACUCAAAAGUUUUGGGACAGUUUGUCAGCUGACCUGGGCCUAGGAAAACAUGUGGCAGUGUUCAUGUAUGCAUGGACAGAAUAAAGCUAUAAUGUUUAAUCUCCUGUGCGUGGACAUAAGCGUGAAGGCUUUAGAGGGUAAUAUAACUAUGCCCCUGCUCUUCCAUGUAGCCACAUUAUGCAAUGUAGUGUAAUUGAAAACAGUACUAAAUUGCUGAAUGUGUGUAAUUUUAGAUCCAGGGGAUUAAAACUCCAGGGAACGUUUAUUUAUCUUACAAGGGCCUGCUGAAGUAUUCCUACCCUGUGAAGUUCUGAGACAUUUCAGGAGUACCAGAAUAAUCCACAGCAAAUUAGAGGGGGCCAUCUACGUCCUCCACACUGAUGUGUCUCAGUUAUAGCAUUAUAAUGAUGUACUUCCAUGUCUGCUCCUCACCUCAGCUUUGAGAUCACCGAGGGAGGCUCCUAGCCACCAUGGAUACCAGUGCCCAGCAUGGCGCCUUCUACACUGAAUGUUGAGCGUAAGAGUGAAUAUUAUGUUCUAGUCAGAGUUCUAAGUCCUUCACAUGGUUUCCCUCAUUUAGUCCCUCUAACAGCUCUAUGAAGUAGUUAAUAUUAUUAUACCCAUUUUACAGAUGAGGAAACUAUGGCUUAAAGAGUGAUUUUCCUAUUUCUUGGAAAUAAAUGAUAGAAGAGAGAAUUUAAGCCUGUUCUCUCCACCAAUAUCCUAGAAUGAAGAUUAAGCCUGAGUGUGAUGAGGAGGUACUCCAGUCUUGGGUGUGGGAGGCACUAAAUGUGUCAGUGGGUUGUGUCACAGGAAAAGAAUAAGAUGCAGUGUUUAUUGAGAUGCUUCUGUCUGAAUUCCCUCUCAUUAUCAUGGUCCCAGGAACAACGGCUUUCUUGGAUUUAUGGCCACUGAACAUUAUCUUGGAAGCCAUGGGACAUCUCUAGGGGCAAGCGCCUUAUAGAUCCUCAUUUCUUAAGUUAAAAUUUAGUAAUACAGGUAAACAGGUUUGUGGAUGGUACUGCAUUAACUGAUUGGAAGAUACCAGAUAGAAAAAUAGAGACAGUAAUCUCUGCUUCUAAUUUCUCCUAAGUGUUUAUUCUCUCUCGACGCAAAGUACUAUUCACAACUUUGCAUUAUUUCACUCUAAACGCAGCAGGUUCUUAAGUGGCCUGACAUCUUUUAUGGUUUUCUGGGGAAAAGAAUGAAACAGUUGCACUAAUCUAAUGUUGCUAUUUGCUCUAAUAUUUUGAUAAAUAAACCCCUGCUCUGAAAGGGAACUAUACCUUUUGAUAUGUUUGGCAUAUUUCUUUUGCAAGGGUGUCCUAAAUAGGUUGACUACAAAUAUUUCUACUAAUGAGGUGGCCUUGAAAUAUCGCCCCUGUGAUUAUAGGCAUAAAUAGUGAAUUUCAUUAGGCUGCUCGAGUCUCACUUUUGAUGGCAUAGUAAAUCUCAGGACCACUGUGGGCGGGAGGGAGAUGAAGAGCUUUUUUCGGAUAUAAUUAACUUACUCGAAUGAACCUACUCGCUAUCUUAUAGCAAUUCUAUCUCAGUCUCAGGCUACUUUACGUACAUAAAACAAUUCAGCACUGUUACAGGGAUUCUUCAUGAGCCCAAAGGAUUAAUAAGUUAAAAAAAAAUGACUAGGUUGAGAAAGGCGUGAAGAUAUGGAUUGCUCUCUUUACUUCACUAAGCAGUAAAGAUACUAAUACCUGGAACCUAGAGUGAUAGUACAUAGUAUACUCAUAAUAAACUUGACUGAAUCAAAUCCUUAAUGUUUUGUUCUAAAUAAUAUUAUUCUGCUUUGUCAGUUCUUAGAUGAUUAUUCCUUUUGAUGUAAAUCCUGAUGAACUCAAAUCUUAUUUAUGAAUAUAUAUCGGCAUGGAGGGUGGAUAGAGGGAUUUUUCUAAGCCAGGAAUAUGCAUGGCCUUGGGGAUACAUGUAGAGUUAUACCAACGGUGCGUGAGAACGCCUCUUCCCCCACCUCUUCGCUCAUGCUGUUUGGAAGAGACCAGGCUAUUUCUCUUCUAGAAUGUUCCAUAUUCUGAAUUUGUCUGAUUGUUUCCUCAUGGUAGUGUUUAACUUGUUGCUCUAUCACCUGCGUUUCCUGAACAUUUGAAGUUCAAGUUAAAAGCCCGAGUAGAUUCAGGUUCAACAUUUUUAGCACAAAUACUUCAGAGAUGAUGCUGCAUACCCCGUGUUGUGUUGUGUCAGAGGCACAUCCUGCCAUGUUAGCCCUCCAUUCAGGAAGCUUGGUUAUGAUGGUACCACAAUGGUACCCACCAUUGUGAAGGUAUGUUUCUCACUUCAGAAUUAGAAAGGAAUUGAUGAGAUGCAUUUAUUUAAUUGUAAUCGGAUUGAACAUACUUGCAUACGUUAUUGGCCAAGGAAUUAAUUUCCAUCGUUGAGGAAGCAAAGUUGUUUGUUUGUUUGUUUGUUUGGGGUAGGGCAAGGGGUUUGCGUUCCAGCACUCCUCAGUUCACACCAGGCUCACUCCCACUGACCAGUAAGCCCCAAAGGAUAUUCAGGCCAAGGAAAUCUGAGACGAUUCUGUUCCUAAAAUUAUUUUAAAAGUUAAGUAUAGACAAAAGCGUAAGCCAGGGAAUUUGGGGGAUAAUUUUAGUUUUUCUUACUUAUUUAAUAGGAAAUAUAUUCAUGUGAUUCAAAGUUUAAAACAUAUAAAGGGUACAGUGAGGGGCCUCUGUUCCAGUAAUCUGUUGCUGUGCAGCAAACCACUCCAAAACAGUGGCCUGAAACACUAAUAUCGUGAUUCAGUAGUGAAGCUGGGGGAUCAACGGGUCACCCCUUCUGCAGGGUCUCUCUUGAAGUUGCUGUCAGAUGGUAGCUGCAGCUGGUGCCUCUUCACUCAUCUGCCUGGUGUCUGAGGUGAGAUGACUCAAACAGCUGGGCACUGGAGCAGCUGGGGCUCCUUGGGCAUCUCCCUUCUCCCUUUUCUCUCUGUCUCCCUGUCUCUCGGUACGUGGUCUCUCCACUGGUGGCCUCCUUGUGCCCGGGCUUCUUACACGGCAGCUGAAGGCUCUUGGAGUGACUGGCCCGAGGGGAACCUGUAGACACUGCAUAACCUUCUCAAAUGCAGCCUUAGACAUCGUGCAGCACCACUUCUGCAUUCUGUUCAUCAGGGUGGUCACCAAGUCCCACGAGGGUCCAAGACAAGGGUCAUAGGCUCUACCUCCUGAUGGGAGGGGGUCAAAGAAUUUGCAGCUGUGCUUCGAAACCAUCACGCACCCCCUCAAACUCUUUUUCCCCAGCCACUCAGUUUACUUUCACUAGCAACCAAUGUCCCUAGUUUCUUGUGAAGCGUUUAAGAGAUGCUCUAUAUACAAGACAAGCAUACAUAUUCUUCUCACUUAGCAUAAUGUAUGCAGUGUUCUGUCCUUUGUUUUUUUCUUAAAAAUAUUUCAGGGAGAUUAUUCAAAUCAGGCCAUAAAAAGGAUCUUCAUUUUUUUAAUGCCUUUGUAGUACUGCAUUUAUACAUGUACUGUAAUGAUUUAACCACUCCCUUGUUAAUGCAUCUGUAGGUUAUUACUCAUUUUUUACUAUUGCAAACAACACUAAUAUGAAUAACUUUGAACAUACGUACAUCAUUUUAGAUACAUAUAAGCACAGUUGUGCUAUACAUUCUUAGAUGUAGAAUUACAGGACUAAAACGGUAUGAGCGUUUUAAAUUUUGAUAAAUAUCGCCACAUUGCCCUCCACAGAGGAUGCAAACAUUUCCACUCCCACCACGCGUGUGAGGAUCCACUGCCUCACACCCCUGCAAAACAGAAUGUUCUCAAAUGUUUUGGGUUUUGCUAAGUAAAAAAAAAAUAAUUUUAAUUUGGUGUGGUUUUAAUGUGCAUUCUUUUUAUCAACCAUUUUUAACAUUUAUUUUCUCAUGUUUAAGAACCACUUGUAUUUUUCUUUUUUUUUUAAAGAUUGGCACCUGAGUUAACACCUGAUGCCACUUUUUUUUUCCUCUUCUUCUUCUCCCCAAAUCCCCCCAGUACAUAGUUGUAUAUUUUCUUAGUUGUGCGUCCUUCUAGUUGUGGCAUGUGGGACGCCGCCUCAGCAUGGCCUGAAGGGAGGUGCCAUGUCCGCGCCCAGGAUCUGAACCGGUGAAGCCCUGGGCUGCUGGAGCAGUGUGAGUGAACUUAACCUCUUGGCCAUGGGGUCAGCCCCUUCAAUUCCUCAAAAAGAUUGAUGAUCAUUUCAACAUAAAACAAAUGUUUGAGAUAAGCGAAAAGGUGAGAUCCUCCACAUUUUUGAUAAACCUAAAGACCUUUUAAUAAUUCAAAAAGUUCUAUUUUCCUGAAUCCUGCAGAUGAGUAGGCUGUGAGCAUUCAGAGCUUUGUGACUCCUGGAGUUACUAUGUCUCUCAAACCCAGCCCGAAAUUCUCAGAGGGGCAGAAGUGGCUUUGAGAUAUUAUAAUUAGAAGUCUAUUUCCACAGGUAUUUCUGCAGAUCUUCUCUAACAUCCAGAUUUGGGAUGAAUGAUCUGCCUUUGGAUUUUGUGCACGUUCCUCAGACUUCCUUUUUACCCUCCACUUUUAGCGUCUCCUCUCCCUCCUCAGCUAACAUUUAUUUUAUAGAUUCAUGGGAUACAUGGCAGUUUAGUCUGGUACAGUGACAUGGAUAUAGUAAGCGACAGAGAAUUAGGUCAAAAUUAUGUAGGCAAGGGAAAGACAAAUUAGCGUGGUUAGAAGGUACCAGCACUGGAGCCAGAAGACCUGCCAUUUGCUCACCUGGCCUUGGGCUGGUUGGUCAACUUUUCAGAGAAUCGAUUUCUUCAUCAGAAAAUGAUAAUACUUAACUCACAAAACUGGGUUGUUGUGAAGAUUAAGAGAAAGAAUGUUUUCAACAUUUAUUGAGCCCCUCUUAUGUCCUGGUGCCUUUGUAUACUUAAUCUCAUUCAUCCUCAGUAGACGUCCACUAACUUUCUGAUUUACUGACUAUAUUGGUUUCCUAGGGCUGCGGCAACAAAUUACCAUAUAACAUGUGGCUUAAAACAACAGAAACUUAUUCUUUCACAGUUUUGCAGACCAGAAGUCCGAAAUCAAGAUUGGCAGCGUUGGUUCCUUCUGGUGGGUCUGAGGGAACAUCCAUUCCAUGCCUCUCUCCUAGCUUCUGGUGGCUGCCCACAGUUUUUGGCAUUCCUAGGCUUGUAGAUGCAAGCUCCAAUCUCUGCCUCCAUUUUUCCCUCUGGACUUCCUCUCUGAGUGUGUCUGUCUUCUUCUUUUCUGUCUCUUAUAAGGACACUCAUAUUGAAU
ensembl:lncRNA